rnacentral:rRNA from 1 species
AGCGCACACGGUGGAUGCCUAGGCGGUCAGAGGCGAUGAAGGACGUGGUAGCCUGCGAAAAGUGUCGGGGGGCUGGCAACAAGCUUUGAUCCGGCAAUAUCCGAAUGGGGAAACCCACUGCUUCGGCAGUAUCCUGCAGUGAAUUCAUAGCUGCUGGAAGCGAACCCGGUGAACUGAAAUAUCUAAGUAACCGGAGGAAAAGAAAUCAACCGAGAUUCCCUAAGUAGUGACGAGCGAACGGGGAGCAGCCCUUAAGCUGGAAUGGCUUUAGAAAAACAAUCUGGAAAGAUUGGCCAUAGAAGGUGAUAGCCCUGUAUUUAAAAGGGCCACUCCAGUGAAGACGAGUAGGGCGGGGCACGUGAAACCCUGUCUGAAUAUGGGGGGACCAUCCUCCAAGGCUAAAUACUCCUGACCGACCGAUAGUGAACCAGUACCGUGAGGGAAAGGCGAAAAGAACCCCGGAGAGGGGAGUGAAAUAGAUCCUGAAACCGUGUGCGUACAAGCAGUAGGAGCUCGCAAGAGUGACUGCGUACCUUUUGUAUAAUGGGUCAGCGACUUACUGUUCGUGGCAAGCUUAACCGUAUAGGGGAGGCGAAGGGAAACCGAGUCUGAUAAGGGCGCAUAGUCGCGGGCAGUAGACCCGAAACCGGGUGAUCUAGUCAUGGCCAGGGGGAAGGUGCCGUAACAGGUACUGGAGGCCCGAACCCACGUCUGUUGCAAAAGACGGGGAUGAGCUGUGAUUAGGAGUGAAAAGCUAAUCGAACCCGGAGAUAGCUGGUUCUCCUCGAAAGCUAUUUAGGUAGCGCCUCGGACGAAUACUACUGGGGGUAGAGCACUGUUAUGGCUAGGGGGUCAUCGCGACUUACCAAACCAUUGCAAACUCCGAAUACCAGUACGUACUAUCCGGGAGACACACGGCGGGGGCUAACGUCCGUCGUGAAAAGGGAAACAACCCAGACCCACAGCUAAGGUCCCAAAUUCACUGCUAAGUGGAAAACGAUGUGGAAAGGCAUAGACAGCCAGGAGGUUGGCUUAGAAGCAGCCACCCUUUAAAGAAAGCGUAAUAGCUCACUGGUCGAGUCGGUCUGCGCGGAAGAUUUAACGGGGCUAAGCAGUGAACCGAAGCUUGGGGUGCAUAAAACUUGUUUUAUGCGCGGUAGAGGAGCGUUCCGUAAGCCUGCGAAGGUGGAUUGAGAAGUCUGCUGGAGGUAUCGGAAGUGCGAAUGCUGACAUGAGUAACGAUAAUGCGGGUGAAAAGCCCGCACGCCGAAAGCCCAAGGUUUCCUUGCGCAACGUUAAUCGACGCAGGGUUAGUCGGUCCCUAAGGCGAGGGCGAAAGCCGUAGUCGAUGGGAAGCAGGUUAAUAUUCCUGCACCUCGCGUGAGUGCGAUGGAGGGACGGAGAAGGUUAGGUGUACCGGGCGUUGGUUGUCCCGGGGAAAGGCGGUAGGUUUGGAUCUUUGGCAAAUCCGGGAUCCUUUAAGACCGAGCACCGAGACGAGCCUUUAUGGCGAAGUCACUGAUACCACGCUUCCAGGAAAAGCUCCUAAGCUUCAGCUCACGAAGACCGUACCGUAAACCGACACAGGUGGGUAGGAUGAGAAUUCUCAGGCGCUUGAGAGAACUCGGGUGAAGGAACUAGGCAACAUGGCACCGUAACUUCGGGAGAAGGUGCACCCUUUUUGGUGGCUCAUGCGAGCUAUAGCUGAAGAGGGUCGCAGAAACCAGGCCGCUGCGACUGUUUAUCAAAAACACAGCACUCUGCAAACACGAAAGUGGACGUAUAGGGUGUGACGCCUGCCCGGUGCUGGAAGGUUAAUUGAUGGGGUCAGCCGCAAGGCGAAGCUCUUGAUCGAAGCCCCAGUAAACGGCGGCCGUAACUAUAACGGUCCUAAGGUAGCGAAAUUCCUUGUCGGGUAAGUUCCGACCUGCACGAAUGGCGUAACGACAGCGGCGCUGUCUCCACCCGAGACUCAGUGAAAUUGAAAUCGCUGUGAAGAUGCAGCGUUCCCGUGGCAAGACGGAAAGACCCCGUGAACCUUUACUAUAGCUUUACACUGAACGUUGAGUUCGUCUGUGUAGGAUAGGUGGGAGGCUAUGAAACUGUGGCGCUAGCUGCAGUGGAGCCAUCCUUGAAAUACCACCCUGUCGUGCUUGACGUUCUAACCUAGAUCCGUUAUCCGGAUCAGGGACCGUGUAUGGUGGGUAGUUUGACUGGGGCGGUCUCCUCCUAAAGAGUAACGGAGGAGCACGAAGGUACGCUCAGCGCGGUCGGACAUCGCGCACUGUGUGCAAAGGCAUAAGCGUGCUUGACUGCAAGAUCGACGGAUCAAGCAGGUACGAAAGUAGGUCUUAGUGAUCCGGUGGUUCUGUAUGGAAGGGCCAUCGCUCAACGGAUAAAAGGUACUCCGGGGAUAACAGGCUGAUACCGCCCAAGAGUUCAUAUCGACGGCGGUGUUUGGCACCUCGAUGUCGGCUCAUCACAUCCUGGGGCUGUAGUCGGUCCCAAGGGUAUGGCUGUUCGCCAUUUAAAGUGGUACGCGAGCUGGGUUCAGAACGUCGUGAGACAGUUCGGUCCCUAUCUGCCAUGGGCGUUGGAAGUUUGAGAGGGGCUGCUCCUAGUACGAGAGGACCGGAGUGGACGAACCUCUGGUGUUCCGGUUGUCACGCCAGUGGCAUUGCCGGGUAGCUAUGUUCGGAAGCGAUAACCGCUGAAAGCAUCUAAGCGGGAAGCGCGCCUCAAGAUGAGACUUCCCGGGGCACAAGCCCCCUAAAGGAACCAUAUAGACUAUGUGGUUGAUAGGUCAGGUGUGUAAGUACAGCAAUGUAUUGAGCUAACUGAUACUAAUGAUCCGUGCGGCUUGACC